CCAGAGCUCCUCCCACUGCCCUUCUUGAUAAUGGGGUGGGUCAUUCUGACUUCUUGAUUGAUUUGCACUUAGACCAAAGAGGAACCCCGGGAGAGGCCAGAGGAGCCAGGCUCCUGGGGUGAAGGCAUCUGUUGAAAGCUGUUUCUGGGUUGCACUGUCUGAAAGCCAAGCAAUCCCUGAGCGAGGCUGGCUUUGUGAGCAUGUGAUUUGGGUUGUGAUUUAGACACCUGCACUCCGGAAGGACCCCACAUGCCAAAGGACCCCAUGCUCCAGAGGACUUCAGGAUUGGUUUAAUGCGCCACUGGUCCCUGCCUCCAAAUUGUUAAUACCCUUGAACAAGGGCCUUUCAUUUUCAUUUUGCACUGGGCCCUGCAAAUUACACAGCUGGUCCUGGCCCUGAGCUGCCCCUGCCCCUGAGCUGCCUGCACCAUGGCUUCUUACCAACAAUUUGGGAAUGGCUGUUUUCUCCUGAGUGAUGCCCUUUGUCAUGGCUGCUUGGAGUAGUUCAUUCCUUCUGGUUCCGAGUCAGUCCUGAACCAGGCUGCAGAACCCAGAACCUCCUGGUCUACAAAGGACAGCAGUUCCUCCUGAGGAGGCAGGGAGAGGACAGGGUAUGCUGGGUCUGCAUCCUCCUCCUUCCCCAGACAGCGUAAGCCCCGGAGUGGCUGGGAUGGGAGGGCGGCCAUCCUCAGGGGCCCCUCGGUGGGGGCCACAUGUGGUUAGUGCCGGGAGCUGGCCUGGGCCUUGGCAUACAUCCCCUCCUAGCCUCCCUGCGGGUGGAGGGACUGACUGUGCCAGGGUUCCCAGGGCUGGGUUCUGAGAGAGCUUUUUAAAGCCACUUCCUGGGCCGGAAAGAGGACACCAAUUAAGUGCCUGGCUGAGGCCUGAGACCCAAAUGGCCUUGAGUCCAAUCUUUCACUUAAAGUCCAAUUUCCAAGGACCUGUCAAAGAUGCCAAGCUGGGAUCUUUGCAGAGAUCCCUCUAUUUGGGACUCCUUCCAAAGGACACACCUUCCAACACUGGAAGAACCUUUCAAAGAACUCCCCAAAGGGGCCUGUCCAGGAUGCCGCGUCCCACUCAAUCAUCUCGUCUCCUUAGGCUGCUCUCGUCUGUGACAGUUUCUUACCAUUCCUUGCUUUUGAUGAACUUGACCGUUUUGGGGAGCACAGCUCAGACGUGUUGGGAAAUGCCCUUCAAUCCGAGUAUGUCUGAUGUUUCCAUCACGGUUAGACCAGGAUGAUGGGUUUCUGUCACAUGGUUUCAGUAGAGGGUACAUGAGGCCCACAUAGCCUUGUUUUUACUUUUAGUAAAUUCUGGAAAUGUCAAUGAUCCUGCAUAUUUCUUAUGGGAUGUGCGCAUGUGUCUCACCAUCAUGUGUGUUAAGAUG